ensembl:lncRNA
UGCUUCUCCAAGCCUUUAUUGUUACACAGAUAUGGGGCCAGGCAGUGCGUUUACAAGGUACACCAAGUAGCCUAAAGUACAGCAUUUCAAAAAUCACAUUGUUAUUACAUUGAAACAAAUCAGAAACAGCACUUAAUGUAAAAACCUCCCUCUGUUUUCACAUCUUAUAACAACCACAAGACAUCAAGGUUUUUAGAAAAUGUCUAAACAACUUUAAGCCAGGCCUAAAACAACAUUGUUCUCUAUUUUUCACCGGGUUGAUAUGAAAGAGGGUUGACUGACUGAUACUGUUGCUUAAUAAAUGUUUCGGUUUUAUCUGGAAAAGCCACUGUAAUGUAAAGGCAGUUUGGUCAGUGGUGAUAGCACUGAGAUUGCUGCUGGUGAUUGUGUAUUCAUUGUGAUGAAAAAUACCCUGAAAAUCAGACAGUCUCCAACUUCCCCAAAGUGAAACAGCUACCCCCUGUAGUUGAACCACGAGCUGCUGCGUCAUGGCUUUGAGCUUAUUCAGUAAAUUCACAUAAAAGUUCUGCACCAAACUGAAGUGUUGCCCUGAGUCCAGCGCACAGCGGAUUGAGUCUUUAUUGUCUCAGAGCUCAGUAUACUUUGGAGAUGAGGUGAUGUUUGUGAGUCACCGUUUGCAUAAGAGCGUGUGGAUAUAAUGCUCAUGACACAGGUCCCAAUGUGUGCAGCUCAACAGAGCCAUUAGGGCUGCUGUAUCCUCAACUGUAUCUACCUUUGAACUAAUACAAUCUCUGACUGAAGCAAUAGAGAAAACUACAAAGGAUACACAACAAUUCAAUAUCAUGAUUUAUUUUUAAGUUGUUUUUUUUUAAAGUUUUUAUAUUAAAAAAAAUGUCAGUAACUGACACCAAAAAAACUAUCCACUUUCUGUCAAAGCAUGUCCAAUGUACCAUCCCUUAGACCAUCUGCUUCACUCAUUCGUCUGUCUCAGUCCACCUCAGAAGAAUGCAGUACUGGUUUAGUAAACAAAACAUACAGCAGAGGAACAUGCCUCUGAAUCAAAUAAAAAAGCUGCUUUUGCAUGGGUUAGACUUCCCUCGAAGAGAAAUAAGCACAGCUACAACCUGUGGCCCUGUGUGGAGCAGGGUGCCCCCGAUCACGGGAACCCACCACCCAAAAGUCUCUGCUCACCAAGAGCACUUCUUAUAUGUUUUGAAAGAAAACAUGAGAGGUAUUCAUUUACUGGUAAAUUCACAAUCUGAAGCUUUGAAAGUAUCAGGGGACCAGGCUGUGGGGAUAAGCGGAAGACAGAUAGGUGUGACUCCCACACCUCAGAUACUGGGAGCAAAUCCCUCUGACAAAACCUGGUGAUCUUUCAUAUGAUUAGGCUUUUCUCAAUACCAGAAAUACAAACAUCAUUAACAAAUUAUAUAUAUCACAAUUACAGAGCUACAGCAGAAGCAAGAAGUUCUCCUUCGAAGUGCCUCGCUUUUUUGACACAUGAAACUUGAAGACGUACUUUUCUCACACAAGUGAAAUGCACACAUCCAUCCACACACGUUAGUCACAUUCACACAAACUCUGGGCUCAACAGUGUUCUUUGAGUUACUUCUCAGAUUAGCUUACAUCGACAUUUGAGAUUUAGAUUAGGAUUGAGAAGGAAUGGGGUAAUGCAUUAUCUCCAAAUGGAUAGAGGUUUAGGGGGCAGAAGGGGGUUUGGGACCAGGCUUUCUGGGGUCAAUAUGACCCUGGUGAAUAAAAGAUAGGAGCAGCAGCACCAGCACAUAUGCACACAAUGCUGGAGAGUUCAGGCACACGAUUACCACCAUCCACAGUAAUGCUCCUGUCUAAGUUACUGUUAACAGCAACCAUAUCCGCAACAUCCUCAUCACUCAAUACAAAAUGAAAUUAAAGAAACUAAACAACAAAUAGUGACACAAAAUCAAAGUGCAGGCUGGUUGUGGCUGCACAGUUUACAUUGAUUUUCUGUGGGCCAUAUCUCUGUCCGAGACAGAAUGUGUUGGCAACCAAUGUGUUGCAUGUUGAAAUACUGAAAUGUCUUUCUGGAUGCGUCUGGUGUCAGUGCUAUCGCCUGGCACAUUCUCCCCAGAGGAGGAGCCUGCUCCAGGCUGCUCUCUACUGGUCAGGUUUGGCACUGCAGACCACACAAACUAGGUCUGUGAGUCCUCUUUGAGAUGAAUUUUCUUUGUUCUUCUUUUCAACGAUCCAAUACCAAACAAGCAUCGUCACAACGUAGGGCUUCUCACAUCUCCUUUUGCUGGUCUCAGCCAGAAUAUGAUUUCCCAAAACAAAUAACAGUGACAGUAAAAAAGACAUUGAUAAAAACGUCAAAAGCACUUCAUGUCAUGUAGCGGGUGAUCGCUCUCAGAGCGUAUAACAGUUCAGCUUGCAUUCGCGCUUCCAUAAGAAGCAGAUUAACAUGGACCUG